rnacentral:rRNA from 1 species
CCUACGGGAGGCAGCAGUGGGGAAUAUUGGACAAUGGGGGGAACCCUGAUCCAGCCAUGCCGCGUGUGUGAAGAAGGCCCUCGGGUUGUAAAGCACUUUCAGUGAGGAAGAACGCCUGGUGGUUAAUACCCAUCAGGAAAGACAUCACUCACAGAAGAAGCACCGGCUAACUCCGUGCCAGCAGCCGCGGUAUUACGGAGGGUGCGAGCGUUAAUCGGAAUUACUGGGCGUAAAGCGCGCGUAGGUGGCUUGAUAAGCCGGUUGUGAAAGCCCCGGGCUCAACCUGGGAACGGCAUCCGGAACUGUCAAGCUAGAGUGCAGGAGAGGAAGGUAGAAUUCCCGGUGUAGCGGUGAAAUGCGUAGAGAUCGGGAGGAAUACCAGUGGCGAAGGCGGCCUUCUGGACUGACACUGACACUGAGGUGCGAAAGCGUGGGUAGCAAACAGGAUUAGAUACACCGGUAGUC